rnacentral:rRNA from 1 species
AUGCACGCUGGCGGCGUGCCUAAUACAUGCAAGUCGAACGGGGAGUAGCAAUACUCUUAGUGGCGAACGGGUGAGUAACGCGUUGGUACCUGCCCCGAAGCGGGGGAUAACGGACCGAAAGGUCCGCUAAUACCCCAUGUGCUCGGUAACGAGUAAAGGUGAAAACCACUUUGGGAGGGGCCUGCGUCCCAUCAGCUAGUUGGUAAGGUAACGGCUUACCAAGGCGAUGACGGGUAGGGGACCUGAGAGGGUGGCCCCCCACAAUGGAACUGAAACACGGUCCAUACACCUACGGGUGGCAGCAGUAGGGAAUAUUGGUAAUGGGCGCAAGCCUGAACCAGCAACGCCGCGUGUGCGAUGACGGCCUUCGGGUUGUAAAGCACUUUUGACUGGGACGAGGAAGGACGGUACCGGUCGAAUCAGCCUCGGCUAACUACGUG